rnacentral:tRNA from 1 species
UCCCUUGUGGCUGAGUUGGUAAAGAAUCUGCCUGCAAUGCAGGAGACCCUGGUUCGAUUCCCGGGUUGGGAA